rnacentral:rRNA from 1 species
CUCGCCUGUUUAUCAAAAACAUAGUUAAAAGAAAAGAUUUUUAAUUAUUCCUGCCCAGUGUAUAUUUAUAAAUGGCCGCAGUACUUUGACUGUGCUAAGGUAGCAUAAUCAAUUGGCUUUUAAUUUGAGUCUGGAAUGAAAGGAUUUAUGGGGAGACGCUGUUUCAAAUAUAUAGUAUUAAAUUUAUUUAAAAAGUGAAAAUACUUUUUUAUAGAAAAAAGACGAGAAGACCCUAAGAAUUUUUAGAAAAAUAUAUUAAUUUUUCUUUUUGUUGGGGCGACAAUUAAGCAAUAGCAUUAACCUUAAUUAUUUAUUUAAUCGGUUAUUUCAGUAAAAAUUAAAUUACCUUAGGGAUAACAGCAUAAUUUUUAAAAGUUUGUGACCUCGAUGUUGGACUAGGAACUUUAUAACUAGCAGUAAAAAGAGAUUGUUCUGUUCGAACAAUAUUUGGCAACGUGAUCUGAGUUCAGACCGGG